GACGUAGGGGGCGAGCGUUAUCCGGAUUCACUGGGCGUAAAGGGCGCGUAGGCGGUUACGUAAGUCCGGCGUGAAAUAUCCCGGCUCAACUGGGAGGGUGCGUCGGAUACUGCGUUGACUUGAGGACGGUAGAGGCAGAUGGAACUAGCGGUGUAGCGGUGAAAUGCGCAGAUAUCGCUAGGAACGCCGGUGGCGAAGGCGAUCUGCUGGGCCGUUCCUGACGCUGAUGCGCGAAAGCUAGGGGA
rnacentral:rRNA from 1 species